UAUCAAUGUCAUGGUACAGACAGCUUUGUCAUUUGGCAUGGCGUCGACAAGAAAGGUAGAAGUAGUGGAGGUCAUUCACGAACAUUUCUGUCUCGUUUUCCUUAAAUUUUAGGUCUCCAGGACGAACUUAUUAUGCUGUGUUGGCCAUGGGAACCUUCCAGGACAAAAGGAAUGUACCGUAGAUAUCCUUAAGGUGGGACGAAGAUUUGGUUUCAUUGUAAAUAAAAUAUAACAAAUAUCA